GGGUGUGCGUCGCGCUCCUGGCACGCACAGGUUCCUCGGUGGUCGGGCCGCCACCU
rnacentral:ncRNA from 3 species